rnacentral:rRNA from 2 species
CGUAUCACCCAAGACAACUUUACGGAGUUGACGAUUGACGGAGCGAAGCGACGUCAAAGCGUUCAUUAAAGUCGAGUUGGCUUAGGGAUACGUUCGUUGGGUAGGGGAGCGUUCUGUAAGCCUGUGAAGGUGUGUCGUGAGGCAUGCUGGAGGUAUCAGAAGUGCGAAUGCUGACAUAAGUAACGAUAAAGCGGGUGAAAAGCCCGCUCGCCGGAAGACCAAGGGUUCCUGUCCAACGUUAAUCGGGGCAGGGUGAGUCGACCCCUAAGGCGAGGCCGAAAGGCGUAGUCGAUGGGAAACGGGUUAAUAUUCCCGUACUUGGUGUUACUGCGAAGGGGGGACGGAGAAGGCUAUGUUGGCCGGGCGACGGUUGUCCCGGUUUAAGCGUGUAGGUGUGUGUUCCAGGUAAAUCCGGUUCACUUUAACACUGAGGCGUGACGACGAGGCACUACGGUGCUGAAGCAACAAAUGCCCUGCUUCCAGGAAAAGCCUCUAAGCAUCAGGUAACACGAAAUCGUACCCCAAACCGACACAGGUGGUCAGGUAGAGAAUACCAAGGCGCUUGAGAGAACUCGGGUGAAGGAACUAGGCAAAAUGGUGCCGUAACUUCGGGAGAAGGCACGCUGACACGUAGGUGAAGUGAUUUACUCAUGGAGCUGAAGUCAGUCGAAGAUACCAGCUGGCUGCAACUGUUUAUUAAAAACACAGCACUGUGCAAACACGAAAGUGGACGUAUACGGUGUGACGCCUGCCCGGUGCCGGAAGGUUAAUUGAUGGGGUCAGCGUAAGCGAAGCUCCUGAUCGAAGCCCCGGUAAACGGCGGCCGUAACUAUAACGGUCCUAAGGUAGCGAAAUUCCUUGUCGGGUAAGUUCCGACCUGCACGAAUGGCGUAAUGAUGGCCAGGCUGUCUCCACCCGAGACUCAGUGAAAUUGAACUCGCUGUGAAGAUGCAGUGUACCCGCGGCAAGACGGAAAGACCCCGUGAACCUUUACUAUAGCUUGACACUGAACAUUGAGCCUUGAUGUGUAGGAUAGGUGGGAGGCUUUGAAGUGUGGACGCCAGUCUGCAUGGAGCCGACCUUGAAAUACCACCCUUUAAUGUUUGAUGUUCUAACGUGGACCCGUAAUCCGGGUUGCGGACAGUGUCUGGUGGGUAGUUUGACUGGGGCGGUCUCCUCCUAAAGAGUAACGGAGGAGCACGAAGGUUGGCUAAUCCUGGUCGGACAUCAGGAGGUUAGUGCAAUGGCAUAAGCCAGCUUGACUGCGAGCGUGACGGCGCGAGCAGGUGCGAAAGCAGGUCAUAGUGAUCCGGUGGUUCUGAAUGGAAGGGCCAUCGCUCAACGGAUAAAAGGUACUCCGGGGAUAACAGGCUGAUACCGCCCAAGAGUUCAUAUCGACGGCGGUGUUUGGCACCUCGAUGUCGGCUCAUCACAUCCUGGGGCUGAAGUAGGUCCCAAGGGUAUGGCUGUUCGCCAUUUAAAGUGGUACGCGAGCUGGGUUUAGAACGUCGUGAGACAGUUCGGUCCCUAUCUGCCGUGGGCGCUGGAGAACUGAGGGGGGCUGCUCCUAGUACGAGAGGACCGGAGUGGACGCAUCACUGGUGUUCGGGUUGUCAUGCCAAUGGCACUGCCCGGUAGCUAAAUGCGGAAGAGAUAAGUGCUGAAAGCAUCUAA